UUCCUGUUAUAAAUACGGGGGUCCACAUUUCUACGAUGAGUUUACAGGAGUUGAUAGGCGGCCUUUUCCAGUACAUACAACAAAUAAAUUGUGCCGAAACCUUGGAGUAAGCCACUUCUAUAUAAUGUAUCUACCCUAUAGUUCAAACAUGCACUAACUUAUUUUUUUAUUGAUUGACAGGAAUAUAUGGGUGCAAAGUUCAUGGCCGCACACCAUAAAAUUAAGUCUCAAAACACUUCAAUCAGUACUAAAGGAUGGACCACUUGACCGUGAUUGCUUCAACAUGGCCAUACGCAAGUUCAUGUAUGAAAACAUCCGGUCGCUUCACAAAACCAGCUAAGCAAUAACAAAGCAUUGCCUGGACUUACAAUUUUGGGUAAGUUUUUAUAAUCUACCCAAUAUUGAUUCUUUUGCUCAUAUUUUAAACAAUUAUUGUACAUCAUAUAGACUGCUACUGGAUUUGGUAUAAGUCCAAUGUUCCAUAAGGAUAUAGAUCUUGCGGGGUCGGUUGGUAGCUGGUCGAAAAUCCAUUAUGAAGUUGCAAAAUGCAAAUUGUAUGUGCUGUUGGAAGCUAUAUCUUGGUCAUACUGGACCAAGAAAGCAGAACACUUUAUCUACUAGACCCUAAUCCACUAAAUCCAAUGUAUGAGAACAACCCAACUAUGACAUAUACCAAAAAAUUGUUAAACGUUACCAACUAUUUCAACGGAGCCAUGCGUGUGGCAUGUCCUGGCUCUAGGUGGACUGAGGAUAUCGACUUGUGGGGCCAUAUGUAUGUCACAAAUCCGGUGGCUAACUCGUAAGUUUUCUUGUAUAAUCUUGUUUGAUCUUAUAAAUUAUUUUUGUCUAACGCAUGGUGCCUAACUAUUCAAAUUUCAUAGGAAUUUGUCGGGUUGUCUCGUACAUCUGUUCAUGCGAUCCUGGAAAGAUGGAGCACUUCAUUUGCCGUCUUUUAAGGUCAUUCCGACUAGCAUUGGCAUUUAGAAUAUUAUAUUUUAUUUUAUAAUACAGUCAUUUAUUUUAUAAACAUAUGCAUUUGCAGGAUGUUGAUGAGCUAAGGAAACAAUUUUUGCUACAUAUACUGAUGUAUGAGCAAAAUGAGUGCACAAGCAACAUUCCUAGCGGCGCACGAGAUUUUCUUCACUGUAUCGCAAAUGCAAAACAUUAGAAUAGUUAUUCUUUACCUAUGGGGUGUAUUUUAUACAUAACAAAUGCUUUAUUUAAAUAAUGGAAUAACUCUACACUUCUCUAACAUAUUUUUCUGCCCGCAACAAAUAAUGGAAUAACUCUAUACUUCUCUAACAUAUUUUUAUGCGUAUAUUGCCUUUUAUAUUGUGUAGUGUGUACAUAGGGUAUAUUAUAUAUAAUUAAGUCUUGUAAAGUUUUACUGUGCCCACGUAAUAUCAUAGUACUGCACCUUACAUGAAAUAUAUUAAAUGUACUAUAUGAUUUAAUUAAAGUUCAAAUGCACAGAUCAUAUAAAAAUAUUUUUUGGUAACGUGAAAUUUUUUUAAAGAUACAGUUAAAUAUAAUUGCACCGUAGCGUUUAGCACGGGCAUAUUACUAGUACUAUUGGCUGAACUAAUUCUAAGUGCCAUACACAUGAUCCUAAAAAUGGAUAUCAUGCACUUGGGAAAGUUUCUCAUUUUGAUUCACUGGGUCCAUAUACAUGUAUCUAUGAUUGAACUCAUUCUAAUUGCCAUACACUUGGGAAAGUUUCUCAUUUUGAUUAAUGGGAUCCAUCUACAUGUAUCUAUUACUGAACUCAUUCUAAUUGCCAUUAGAGCCAUUAGACGUGAUGUCGUUAUCACAGAGUAUUGUAGACAUUAACAUAUGAGCAAUGCAGGCUGAAGAGACGAUGGUCUGGGACAGACUUGCUUGUGAAUAAUCCCAAAUUCGCUGGAGCAAUUGAGCAAGCCAUAAGAAACACAUUUACAACGUCGACAGGAAUCAUCUGUCAACCGCACGAGGGGCAACUAUUUGAUUCGCCGGCAGAAGCCUAUCAAUUUUACAACUUGCAUGCUUGGGAGUCAGGGUUAAGUAUUCGUUUAGGGCAAAGCCGGAAGAUCGAUCCAAUGGAGUGCUAUACAUGCAGGGAGUUUGAAUGCCAGCUAUCUGUCGGUGAACACAAAUCAUUAAGCAUAAUAGUUUUGUCUUUUUUUUUAUCGCGAAUCCUUUCAUGGAAUAUGUUCGUGUUCUGCAUAAAAAGGUCAAUUAGGCCUAGAGGGGAGGGGGGGUGAAUAGGCUAAUUUAAAAACUUAAGUAAAGCGGAAGCAGUAAUUUUCAGAACUAGGCUGGGAAUUUUCGGAACUUCCGAAAGGAUUUUCGGAACUUCCGAAAAUGCACAGAGCAGCGCACACAAAAAGAAAUAUCUAGAUCUAGAAGUCUACCACAUGUAAUCAAAGGCACAUACAACAACUAGACCAAUAGCGGCACAUGCAAGCAAAGUUAGAGGAGAGGGAUGAAGAGAUAUCACCAAGGUGAAGCUUGCAAACUUGUUCCCGGAGUUCAAAUCCUUGAGGGGAUUCUACUCUCCGUUGAGGAGCUCACUAAGAGCCAGGUCUUAGCUAAUCCUUUCCUCGAGAGGUUACGCUAAGCACUCCUCCUACCACUAAGAGGUAUCUCUUCCCUAGCUUGCGGAGGCGAGAUCCGGCCUUCAUAAUCUUCUCCCGGCUAACCACAAGUAGAUCGGUGGCUCGGGAGUGACACCUGGCCGUCUAGGAGUCCUCAACCUCCAAGAGUAAAAGAUGAUGCAAAGAAUUCCCGGAGAUGAUGCAAGUGCUCACAAAUCUUCACAAAGACCACAAGAAGCACCCACACAAACUCGAAUCCACACUCUCACACACACCAAAUCCGAAUCAAACACGGGUGGAGAGAUGAAUCGAGGAAGCAAGGCUCAAAUGAACUAGAGAGAGAGCAAGCCAAGGGCACAAAUAAUUGGAAUGAAACUAGCAGCCCUCACAAGUGAGGGGAGGUGGGUAUUUAUACCCACAGCACAAAUCUGCCCGUUGGAGUGCAAUAAAAGUAAUUUUCGGAACUUCGGAAACAAUUUUCGGAACUUCCGAAAAUUCCAGAUCUGAGAAAUAAUCAAAGUCAACGCACUUUUCGGAACUUCCAAAAAACGUUUUCGCAACUUCCGAAAAUUUCCAGAACGCUUAUGUGUAUUUUCGGAACUUUCGAAAAUCAUUUUCGGAACUUCCGAGAAUUUCCAGAGAGCUAUCAAACGGUUCUGUGUAUUUUCGGAGCUUCUGAAAAUUUCCAGAACGCUCCAAAAGAGAAAUGCUUUGAAGAAAAAUUGAUUUUGAGCACACGCAUCACUCCUUGUAUGUCUAUGCAUCAUCCCCCUUAAUAGUACGGCUUUCCUACGACACAAUGCGAGGAAAAAGAUACAAUAUACCAUUUGAUCAUUGCCGCAUUGCAUCGCGAUGUCGCAUUCACAGGAUAUGCAUUGUAUUACAACACGUUGAGGACUUAACAACCUUCACAUUUGCUUGAAUAAAAAUGUUAGUCCUCUCUAAUCGCAUUGUAAUCAAUUAUCAAAAUCAUUAGGGACCUAGAUGCACUUUCAAUCUCCCCAUUUUUGGUGAUUGAUGACAAUUCGAUUAAAUCACAAGAGAGAAUGAUAAUAAUAGAUGAUUUUGGUGCAAAUGUUUAGUGAAAUCUCCCCCUAAGAGUGUGCAUAAAAGCAAGUGGAGAGCUCCCCCUAAAUCUUUGCAUCCACAUUGAAACUCACAAAAGAACAAGUAUCAUCACAAUAUAUGCAUGAAGGAUCAUUUCAUCAUAUCAAAAUCGCAUCUCAAACAAAAUAAUCAUUUCAUCUCAACACCAUCACAACAUAGAGAGAAUAGACCAUUGCAACAAAUACAUCAUCAUCUCAUCACAACCACAAUAUAGAAUAAAUGAGACAUGACAUCACAUUUAAACAUAAGACACAAUAAUAUUGAAACAACCCGGAAUUUUAAGCUAUUUAAAAAAAUAAAAAUUAUGUGACAUAUAUCAUUAAUUAAUCAGUUAACUAGCAAAAUUGUUGGAAACAAGAAUAAGCCACUCAAAAUUUAUAACAUUCGCAUCCGUUGAAGUAAAACAAAUAAAUAAUGUCCAAUAUACCACCACAAUAUACUAAUAAUAAUAACAUGGAAAUAUUAUACGAACAAACAUCACUAUAAACAGUCAUCAUGUAUACAUAAACUUACACUAAUAAUACAAUACAUCAUAUAUUUGAAUAUACGGUUGCACAGGACAUACAUAGCUUGACCCCUUUUAUGCACAAAAGGUAAUAUGUAAAUAAAUGUUGCCGUCAGACCCAUACACAAAGUGGUGUAUAUUCAACCGUUCACUGAGAUACCUAGAUCACCUAGAUCAGCUAAUACCGUCUGGCACCCCUCACUUAAGUCGGGUUCGUCAUCCGGCUAAUUAACACAAAGAAGCCGCACAUCUCAUAUAAAGAAUUAAUCUCACCAAAGGGACCUCAAUUCACCAGCAGUAUUAAUUAUCCACCAAUCACAUAGCUCCACAUAGGAAGCUUCACACAAGACCACAAAGAUAGUAGCACAACUCCAUCCACUUUGGUCAAGACUCUAUCUCACCUUGGUCAAGCACUCAAAGCAUGACCACAGCCAUGGCAGCAGAUGCAUGCAUAUGAGCUCCAACCAAUUAGUGAGGAGUGAGCAGCCCAGGAGAGGAGGAGGAGAGAAGUAGGGAGUGAGGAGCAAACAAAUCAGUGAAAUGCAAGAUUGCGCCCCAUCCAUUGCAAGCACCAAAUCUUGAAUCCCCUAUAAUUAGUAGCCAAAUAGUUCUUGGCCAAAUACUCAUACCAUCACUAUGUCGGCUAGGAAGAGGAGAAGAGAAAUCAGCAAGGAGGGAAUGUGAUUUACCCAAGGAAGAGGAAAGGCCAAUGCAUCGGCGAGGAUGAACACGGGAGCACAGCCAUGGACGAACUUGUCACCUAGGCAAAGGAAUGAGUAGAAUGAUAAUUGGGUCAAUCGGCAGUGCUACAUAAUUUCGAUUCAACUACAGAAACUCAGGCA